ensembl:lncRNA
AAGGAUGGUAGUCUAGGAGAAAAAUGAAUUUUAUUAGUAGUGACGGGUUAAAACCUGUUUCAUACAAAUGUUAGGUGGUGCUUAUAUGUAAAUGCAAGGAUGGUAGUCUAGGAGAAAAAUGAAUUUUAUUAGUAGUGAGGGGUUAAAACCUGUUUCAUACAAAUGUUAGGUGGUGCUUCUAUGUAAAUGCAAGGAUGGUAGUCUAGGAGAAAAAUGAAUUUUAGUAGUAGUGAGGGGUUAAAACCUGUUUCAUACAAAUGUUAGGUGGAAAUCAAGUGCUGCUUGUGGUGGUUUAGUUACUAAGUCGUGUCCUACUCUUGUGACCCUCCGGACUGUAGCCCGCCAGGCUCCUCCGUCCAUGGGACUCUCUAGGCAAGAAUGCUGGAAUGAGUUGCCAUUUAAACAUAAUACUUCAGUUUGCAUCAAGGAAAAAGAGCUGAGGUUGCCUGAAAAUGGGAAAAACUAAUAUAUUUUUUAAAAAUUCUACUUAUUGAGACAUGUGUAAAUGAAUUUACUUAUGGUUUUAAAAACUUGAUCACAGAUAAGCCCCGCUUUAAAGAAAUGUGUUGGUCAGAACCCCACUCACUGUCACAGUGAGGAGUGAUCCUAGACCAUUAUACGGCCCCAACAUACUUCCCUUUUUAUUUUUUUUAAAUUUAUCUUUAAAUUAAAAAAACUGUAAAGUCAUCAUUGGUUUAAAUUUGUAAGCAAAGCAGUAGCAAUGGGCUUCAAGCAGCAGUUAUCGGAACACCCCGAAGAGGAAAGGGAAUACGGGCAUAGCUUUGUUUUCAGACAGUAACUUAACCUUUUGAGACUGACAUGGUGAAGAUCAGUAAAUAGUUACGAGGCCUGGUAGGUGGCCCGGUGGCUAAGACGCUGCACUCCCAAUGCAGGGCGUCCAGGUUUGAUCCCUGGUCAAGGAACUAGAUCCCAAAUGCCUCAGCUAAGACCCUGCAUGCCGUAACUAAAGAUCCCAGAGGCUGCCACCAAGAUCACAGGUCCUGCCUGCUUCGACUAAGAGCCAGUGCACCCAAAUAAAUAAACAAACAUUUAAAAUAGAUAGCUGUACAAGUGCUAUUCAGAAUUAAAGAGAAAUCUAUCUUUAUUCCGAAUUUUCAUUUUCACAAAGUUGAGAGUCUGACUCGAAGAGCAGAGAGCUUCUCUGUAUCACCGAAUGAAAAAAAUGUUUUUUCAUAGCUCCAA